rnacentral:tRNA from 1 species
UGUGCGUGGGGCGGUUGCCCGGUUUGAUUUGAAGUCAUUCGUUUUGCAGUUGUUUGUGACGCAUCCUUAG